rnacentral:rRNA from 1 species
GACGAACGCUGGCGGCGUGCUUAACACAUGCAAGUCGAACGGUGAACCUCUUCGGAGGGGAUCAGUGGCGAACGGGUGAGUAACACGUGGGCAACCUGCCCCCGGCUCUGGGAUAACUCCAAGAAAUUGGGGCUAAUACCGGAUGUUCACCGCUUCUCGCAUGGGUGGUGGUGCAAAGGGUUUCCGGCUGGGGAUGGUCCCGCGGCCUAUCAGCUUGUUGGUGGGGUAGUGGCCUACCAAGGCGACGACGGGUAGCCGGCCUGGGAGGGUAACCGGCCACACUGGUACUGAGACACGGCCCAGACUCCUACGGGAGGCAGCAGUGGGGAAUAUUGCGCAAUGGGCGGAAGCCUGACGCAGCGACGCCGCGUGGGGGAUGACGGCCUUCGGGUUGUAAACCUCUUUCAGCAGGGACAAAGCGCAAGUGACGGUACCUGCAGAAGAAGCACCGGCCAACUACGUG